CUCAGAAGUUAUAGCACAUUGGAAGCGUAUAAUGAUGCCCUCUCGAAAGGAAGUAAAAAUGGAGGUGUUGGUGCAAUUGUUGAUGAACUACCUUAUCUCAGACUCUUCCUCAACAAGUACUGCGGGAAGUAUAUAAUGAUCGGCCCAACAUACAAAACCACCGGCUUUGGAUUCGUAAGAUUCUUGUGCUCCAGUGAUGUUUUAAAUGGUUUGUAGUUUACUCAAUCUAAUCCAUAUUUUUGGAAGUAUAUUAUGGUCGGUCCGACUUACAAGACUUCUGGCUUUGGAUUCGUAAGAUUCUCUCUGCAUCAUUUAAUUGGAAAUGUUCCAUACCUGAAGUUAUACUACCAGUAGUAGUUUACUUAAUCUAUUCCAUUCUUUUCUCCA
rnacentral:lncRNA from 1 species